UACGUAGGGUGCAAGCGUUGUCCGGAAUUAUUGGGCGUAAAGAGCGUGUAGGCGGCCAGACAGGUCCGUUGUGAAAACUCGAGGCUCAACCUCGAGACGCCGAUGGAAACCGUCGGGCUAGAGUUCGGAAGAGGCAAGUGGAAUUCCUGGUGUAGCGGUGAAUGCGCAGAUAUCAGGAGGAACACCUAUAGCGAAGGCAGCUUGCUGGGACGACACUGACGCUAAGGCGCGAAAGCGUGGGGAGCGAACAGG
rnacentral:rRNA from 1 species